CCUUCGAUAGCUCAGCUGGUAGAGCGGAGGACUGUAGACGGAGAGCUGUGGAUAUCCUUAGGUCGCUGGUUCGAUUCCGGCUCGAAGGA
rnacentral:tRNA from 1 species